AUUGAACGCUGGCGGCAUGCCUUACACAUGCAAGUCGAACGGCAGCGCGGGGGUAACCCUGGCGGCGAGUGGCGAACGGGUGAGUAAUACAUCGGAACGUGUCCUGGAGUGGGGGAUAGCUCGGCGAAAGCCGGAUUAAUACCGCAUACGCUCUAUGGAGGAAAGCGGGGGAUCUUCGGACCUCGCGCUCAAGGGGCGGCCGAUGGCGGAAUAGCUAGUUGGUGGGGUAAAGGCCUACCAAGGCGACGAUCCGUAGCUGGUCUGAGAGGACGACCAGCCACACUGGGACUGAGACACGGCCCAGACUCCUACGGGAGGCAGCAGUGGGGAAUUUUGGACAAUGGGGGAAACCCUGAUCCAGCAAUGCCGCGUGUGUGAAGAAGGCCUUCGGGUUGUAAAGCACUUUUGUUCGGGAAGAAAUCCUUCGAGUUAAUACCUUGAGGGGAUGACGGUACCGGAAGAAUAAGCACCGGCUAACUACGUGCCAGCAGCCGCCGUAAUAC
rnacentral:rRNA from 1 species